GCGUUUGUGGUGUAAUUGGCAGCAUAUAAGUCUCCAAAACUUAUGGUCGGGGUUCGAAUCCUUACAAACGCGC
rnacentral:tRNA from 1 species